GAUGAAGCGCCAGCUUGCUGGUGUGGAUUAGUGGCGAACGGGUGAGUAACACGUGAGUAACCUGCCCCCUACUCUGGGAUAAGCCUGGGAAACUGGGUCUAAUACUGGAUAUGACCAAUCACUGCAUGGUGUGUUGGUGGAAAGAUUUUUUGGUGGGGGAUGGACUCGCGGCCUAUCAGCUUGUUGGUGGGGUAAUGGCCUACCAAGGCGACGACGGGUAGCCGGCCUGAGAGGGCGACCGGCCACACUGGGACUGAGACACGGCCCAGACUCCUACGGGAGGCAGCAGUGGGGAAUAUUGCACAAUGGGCGAAAGCCUGAUGCAGCGACGCCGCGUGAGGGAUGACGGCCUUCGGGUUGUAAACCUCUUUCACCAGGGACGAAGCUAACGUGACGGUACCUGGAGAAGAAGCACCGGCUAACUACGUGCCAGCAGCCGCGGUAAUACGUAGGGUGCGAGCGUUGUCCGGAAUUAUUGGGCGUAAAGAGCUUGUAGGCGGUUUGUCGCGUCUGCUGUGAAAGACCGGGGCUUAACUCCGGUUCUGCAGUGGGUACGGGCAGACUAGAGUAUGGUAGGGGAGACUGGAAUUCCUGGUGUAGCGGUGAAAUGCGCAGAUAUCAGGAGGAACACCGAUGGCGAAGGCAGGUCUCUGGGCCAUUACUGACGCUGAGAAGCGAAAGCAUGGGGAGCGAACAGGAUUAGAUACCCUGGUAGUCCAUGCCGUAAACGUUGGGCGCUAGGUGUGGGGCUCAUUCCACGAGUUCCGUGCCGCAGCUAACGCAUUAAGCGCCCCGCCUGGGGAGUACGGCCGCAAGGCUAAAACUCAAAGGAAUUGACGGGGGCCCGCACAAGCGGCGGAGCAUGCGGAUUAAUUCGAUGCAACGCGAAGAACCUUACCAAGGCUUGACAUACACCGGAAUCAUGCAGAGAUGUGUGCGUCUUCGGACUGGUGUACAGGUGGUGCAUGGUUGUCGUCAGCUCGUGUCGUGAGAUGUUGGGUUAAGUCCCGCAACGAGCGCAACCCUCGUUCCAUGUUGCCAGCACGUGAUGGUGGGGAACUCAUGGGAAAACUGCC
rnacentral:rRNA from 1 species